AGUCGUAUGGUCUAAUGGUUAUGAUUUCUCGUUCACAUAAGUGUUCAAAAACCCGAGAAGGUUCCGUGUUCGAUCCACGGUACGACUA